rnacentral:rRNA from 1 species
GACAGAGGCCUCGAGCGUUAGGCGGAAUCACUGGGCUUAAAGCGUGUGUAGGCGGAUCGUUAAGUGUCUUGUGAAAUCCCACGGCUCAACCGUGGAACGGCUGGGCAUACUGGCGAUCUUGAGCAGCCUAGGGGCGACCGGAACAAACGGUGGAGCGGUGAAAUGCGCAGAUAUCGUCAAGAACACCGAUAGUGUAGACAGCUUACUAGGCUCUAAUUGACACUGAGGCACGAAAGUGUGGGGAUCAAACAGG